AUUGAACGCUGGCGGCAUGCCUUGCACAUGCAAGUCGAACGGUAACGCGGGGCAACCUGGCGACGAGUGGCGAACGGGUGAGUAAUACAUCGGAACGUGCCCGAUCGUGGGGGAUAACGCAGCGAAAGCUGUGCUAAUACCGCAUAUUCUGUGAGCAGGAAAGCAGGGGACCGCAAGGCCUUGCGCUCUUUGAGCGGCCGAUGUCAGAUUAGCUAGUUGGUGAGGUAAAGGCUUACCAAGGCGACGAUCUGUAGCGGGUCUGAGAGGAUGAUCCGCCACACUGGAACUGAGACACGGUCCAGACUCCUACGGAGGCAGCAGUGGGGAAUUUUGGACAAUGGGCGCAAGCCUGAUCCAGCCAUGCCGCGUGAGUGAAGAAGGCCUCGGUUGUAAG
rnacentral:rRNA from 1 species